AGAGUUUGAUCAUGGCUCAGAACGUACGCUGGCGGCACGCCUAACACAUGCAAGUCGAACGAAGUAGCAAUACUUAGUGGCAGACGGGUGAGUAACAUGUGGGUAUCUGCCCUUUGGCCUGGAAUAACACGAGGAAACUUGUGCUAAUACUGGAUAAGUCUUUACGGAGAAAGCUUUAUGCACCAUUGGAUGAGCCCGCACUUGAUUAGUUUGUUGGUGGGGUAAUGGCCUACCAAGACUGUGAUCAAUAGCUGAUUUGAGAGGAUGAUCAGCCACAUUGGGACUGAGACACGGCCCAAACUCCUACGGGAGGCAGCAGUGGGGAAUCUUGCACAAUGGAGGAAACUCUGAUGCAGCGAUGCCGCGUGAGUGAAGAAGGCCCUUGGGUUGUAAAGCUCUUUCGUCGGGGAAGAAAAUGACUGUACCCGAAUAAGAAGGUCCGGCUAACUUCGUGCCAGCAGCCGCGGUAAUACGAAGGGACCUAGCGUAGUUCGGAAUUACUGGGCUUAAAGAGUUCGUAGGUGGUUGAAAAAGUUGGUGGUGAAAUCCCAGAGCUUAACUCUGGAACUGCCAUCAAAACUUUUCAGCUAGAGUUUGAUAGAGGAAAGCAGAAUUUCUAGUGUAGAGGUGAAAUUCGUAGAUAUUAGAAAGAAUACCAAUUGCGAAGGCAGCUUUCUGGAUCAUUACUGACACUGAGGAACGAAAGCAUGGGUAGCGAAGAGGAUUAGAUACCCUCGUAGUCCAUGCCGUAAACGAUGUGUGUUAGACGUUGGAAAUUUAUUUUCAGUGUCGCAGCGAAAGCGAUAAACACACCGCCUGGGGAGUACGACCGCAAGGUUAAAACUCAAAUGAAUUGACGGGGACCCGCACAAGUAGUGGAGCAUGUGGUUUAAUUCGAAGAUACGCGCAGAACCUUACCAACACUUGACAUGUUCGUCGCGACUUUAAGAGAUUAAAGUUUUCGGUUCGGCCGGACGAAACACAGGUGCUGCAUGGCUGUCGUCAGCUCGUGUCGUGAGAUGUUGGGUUAAGUCCCGCAACGAGCGCAACCCUCACUUUUAGUUGCCAUCAUUUAGUUGGGCACUCUGAAAGAACUGCCAGUGAUAAGCUGGAGGAAGGUGGGGAUGACGUCAAGUCCUCAUGGCCCUUACGUGUUGGGCUACACACGUGCUACAAUGGUAUCUACAACAGGAAGCGAAACAGCGAUGUUAAGCAAAUCCUUAAAAGAUACCUCAGUUCGGAUUGCACUCUGCAACUCGAGUGCAUGAAGCUGGAAUUACUAGUAAUCGUGGAUCAGCGUGCCACGGUGAAUGCGUUCCCGGGUCUUGUAGA
rnacentral:rRNA from 1 species